rnacentral:rRNA from 1 species
GACGUAGGAUGCAAGCGUUGUCCGGAUUUAUUGGGCGUAAAGAGUUCGUAGGUGGUUUGUUAAGUCUGAUGUUAAAGACUGGGGCUCAACCUCGGAAAUGCAUUGGAUACUGGCAGACUUGAGUGUGGUAGAGGCAAUCGGAAUUCCAGGUGUAGCGGUGAAAUGCGUAGAUAUCUGGAAGAACACCGGUGGCGCAAGCGGAUUGCUGGGCCAUAACUGACACUGAGGAACGAAAGCUAGGGGAGCGAAUGGGAUUAGAUACCCCAGUAGUCCUAGCCGUAAACGAUGAAUACUAGGCGUAUCGGGUAUCGACCCCUGAUGUGCCGUAGCUAACGCGAUAAGUAUUCCGCCUGAGUAGUACGGCCGCAAGGUUGAA